UCCUACGGGUGGCUGCAGUGAGGAAUCUUGCGCAAUGGGGGAAACCCUGACGCAGCCACGCCGCGUGGGUGAAGAAGGUCUUCGGAUCGUAAAGCCCUGUCAGGUGGGAAGAACCGCAGUCGGGUGAAUAAUCUGGCUGCCUGACGGUACCACCAAAGGAAGCACCGGCUAACUCCGUGCCAGCAGCCGCGGUAGUACGGAGGGUGCAAGCGUUGUUCGGAAUUACUGGGCGUAAAGCGCGUGUAGGCGGCCCGAUAAGUCAAAUGUGAAAGCCCUCGGCUUAACCGGGGAAGUGCAUCUGAUACUGUCGGGCUUGAGUCCUGGAGAGGGUUGUGGAAUUCCCGGUGUAGAGGUGAAAUUCGUAGAUAUCGGGAGGAACACCAGUGGCGAAGGCGACAACCUGGACAGAGACUGACGCUGAGACGCGAAAGCGUGGGGAGCAAACAGGAUUAGAUACCCGAGUAGUC
rnacentral:rRNA from 1 species